rnacentral:rRNA from 1 species
UACGAAGGGGGCUAGCGUUGCUCGGAAUUACUGGGCGUAAAGCGCGCGUAGGCGGACCUGCAAGUCGGGGGUGAAAGCCCGAGGCUCAACCUCGGAACUGCCUUCGAUACUGCGGGUCUCGAGUCCGGGAGAGGUGAGUGGAAUUCCUAGUGUAGAGGUGAAAUUCGUAGAUAUUAGGAAGAACACCAGUGGCGAAGGCGACUUCCUGGCCUGUUCUUGACGCUGAGGCGCGAAAGCUAGGGGAGCAAACGGG